rnacentral:tRNA from 1 species
UGGGGCAUAGCCAAGCUGGUAAGGCACUGGACUUUGGCUUCAGCAUGCGUGGGUUCGAGUCCUACUGCCCCAG